rnacentral:rRNA from 1 species
UUUGAGUUUGAUCCUGGCUCAGGACGAACGCUGGCGGCGUGCUUAACACAUGCAAGUCGAGCGGUAAGGCCCUUCGGGGUACACGAGCGGCGAACGGGUGAGUAACACGUGAGCAACCUGCCCCCGACUCCGGGAUAAGCGGUGGAAACGCCGUCUAAUACCGGAUACGACCCAUGGUCUCCUGGCCGUGGGUGGAAAGUUUCUCGGUUGGGGAUGGGCUCGCGGCCUAUCAGCUAGUUGGUGGGGUAACAGCCUACCAAGGCGAUUACGGGUAGCCGGCCUGAGAGGGCGACCGGCCACACUGGGACUGAGACACGGCCCAGACUCCUACGGGAGGCAGCAGUGGGGAAUAUUGCGCAAUGGGCGAAAGCCUGACGCAGCGACGCCGCGUGGGGGAUGACGGCCUUCGGGUUGUAAACCUCUUUUACCACCAACGCAGGCUCCCAGUGCUCUGGGGGUUGACGGUAGGUGGGGAAUAAGGACCGGCUAACUACGUGCCAGCAGCCGCGGUAAUACGUAGGGUCCGAGCGUUGUCCGGAAUUAUUGGGCGUAAAGAGCUCGUAGGCGGCGUGUCGCGUCUGCUGUGAAAGACCGGGGCUUAACCCCGGUUCUGCAGUGGAUACGGGCAUGCUAGAGGUAGGUAGGGGAGACUGGAAUUCCUGGUGUAGCGGUGAAAUGCGCAGAUAUCAGGAGGAACACCGGUGGCGAAGGCGGGUCUCUGGGCCUUACCUGACGCUGAGGAGCGAAAGCAUGGGGAGCGAACAGGAUUAGAUACCCUGGUAGUCCAUGCCGUAAACGUUGGGCGCUAGGUGUGGGGAUUUUCCACGGUUUCCGCGCCGCAGCCACUACGAUUAGCGCCCCGCCUGGGGAGUACGGCCGCAAGGCUAAAACUCAAAGGAAAUUGAGGGGGCCCC